CUCUUCCUUUGCAUCUUGCUUAUAUGCCAAAGCAGUGAAUAUAGACUGCUUAUUCUUCCAUAAUCCCAACAUUUCAGCUUCCACCUUGUUCCAAAUUUUAGCACAUCUUACUGAAGUACUAAACUCAUAAUCACCAAUUCAUUUCAAACCAUAUAACUCAUACUCAGCAUCCCAUGUAAUAUUAGUCAUCUCACAAAACAAUAUCUUUGUAGAAACACAUAAUGGGUACCCAGCAGAUAUGCCAAUACAGAAAUCACAUUUAUGGGCACACAACUACACACUCUG